AGGAGCUUGCUCUUCUUGGAUGAGUUGCGAACGGGUGAGUAACGCGUAGGUAACCUGCCUGGUAGCGGGGGAUAACUAUUGGAAACGAUAGCUAAUACCGCAUAAAAUGGAUUAUCGCAUGAUAAUGCAUUGAAAGGUGCAAAUGCAUCACUACCAGAUGGACCUGCGUUGUAUUAGCUAGUUGGUGGGGUAACGGCUCACCAAGGCGACGAUACAUAGCCGACCUGAGAGGGUGAUCGGCCACACUGGGACUGAGACACGGCCCAGACUCCUACGGGAGGCAGCAGUAGGGAAUCUUCGGCAAUGGACGGAAGUCUGACCGAGCAACGCCGCGUGAGUGAAGAAGGUUUUCGGAUCGUAAAGCUCUGUUGUAAGAGAAGAACGAGUGUGAGAGUGGAAAGUUCACACUGUGACGGUAUCUUACCAGAAAGGGACGGCUAACUACGUGCCAGCAGCCGCGGUAAUACGUAGGUCCCGAGCGUUGUCCGGAUUUAUUGGGCGUAAAGCGAGCGCAGGCGGUUAGAUAAGUCUGAAGUUAAAGGCUGUGGCUUAACCAUAGUACGCUUUGGAAACUGUUUAACUUGAGUGCAAGAGGGGAGAGUGGAAUUCCAUGUGUAGCGGUGAAAUGCGUAGAUAUAUGGAGG
rnacentral:rRNA from 1 species